ACCGUGGUCCAUCCACCCAACCACCAUUGACCUCCACUCACCUGCUCCCUCAUGCGCCCCCUCUCCUUAUCUUCUACACGCCUUCUCCUCUACGCCAACCACGCUCCCUCUCCUUUCCCCUUCUCCACGAAAGGGAAGCCCCUCCAGGAACACCACGGAGAAACCCCCCACAGCAACCACCGACCUUGCUAUGGCGCCGCCGCUACACACCUUCCCUCGCCACUCCGAGGGCACCAAAAGAUGCGCCUCGUCCUCCUCUUCAAGCUGGUACAAGGAAUCGAGCCGGGAGAGCUCUAAUCAACAGCGAAUUCGCCGAUUCCAUCUCCGACCUGCUGCACUCCGGCGAGGAUUCCAGCCACCUCCUUCCUUCCCCGCCAUCUCCAGCCACACGUACACGUUCAGGAUGCUCGCCGUCGGCCUACCUCCGGUGGUUCCCCGGCGCCAAGGCCACCACCAACAGACUCCCCUUGAACUCGUGCGUCGAACGCGCUACCUCCCGCGUCCUAGUUCACGCUAAAUCGCCAGAUCCGUGCUCGACCAGAUCUCCCGGCCAUGGCUGCAGUUUUCAAGCUCGUCCCUGCCUACCUGUUCGUUCUUCUUCGGCCGCACCAGUACUUUAACAAGAUCUGAACAGCAGCCCAGAUGGUUCUAUCCUUUUCUCAGUAAGGAGAGAUCCUGAGUUCUAAUUCCAGCUCUGGCAAUUUAAGCCCACCUUUUUUCUUUUCUCUGUUUAGGCCACAUCUCCCACAAAUGGGCUCAGCCCACUUGCCAGCUAGCUUUCUCGCCGCCUAGCGCGCGGCAGGCCGCUAUCCACCGCCGUCUCUGCGCAGGUCCGGCCCAAUUCGUCCCUGCCUUCCCUCUCUUCUUUGUUUUUGCAGAAAAUGUUUAAAUCUUGCGAAAUUCAUAUCUCCUAAACUAUAACUCCAAAUAAAAAGUGUUUUAUAUAAAAAUUGCUCAGAAAAAUAUGUUGAACAUGAUUAUGCCAUCCAUAUGCAUGUUUGCAUCUCGCAUCAUGUCGUGACGUGUAGAUUGUGUAUAUCACCUAAUAUUGAACCGCGGAGUAUUUCGGACACCGCCUAGGGUUUCCCCGCUCCAUUUAAUAUUGAAGUAGCGCACCUCUGCCAUGUUUGCUAUGCUAAUCCACCCUUAAAUUUGUCGGUAGAAAAUGCAACUCCAACUCUAAUUUGUUUGUUCGGGGUUUCGACUCCGAUUAAUAUGGAUAAAUUGCAUUGCACCAUAUUCGCCAUGCCAUGCAUAUCAUCUUGAGCAUGCCGAAUUCUUCUCCGUAGUUGUAAGAUUUGCAUCCGUUGUUUGUUGUAGCAUUUGCUUCUUCCGGAUAGGAUCACGAAGUGUUGAUGUGAGAUACGACGAGUUCUCCGACAAGUUCUUCUGCAGCUUUUCACUGGCGAGCCCACCCCUUCACCUAUUUUACUUUUACAUGCUCUUUUGAUCUAUUGCUAUCCUUGUGUUGCGAUUCUGCUGUGUCACGUGUCCUAUCCACCUGUUACCUAUAUGUCCGAGAUACACCUCCUCGCCCUACCUAUUGUUUGUUGUUUGCCAGCCUUGCGAGUCGUAGGCGUGUUUAGGCUCUGUUGUUUAUCUCGAUCUGUUAUCGGGAUAUGUUGGGUUGUUGGGAGGUUUUUACAUGCUAUAUCAUUUGUUGGAGAUAAUCACACUUUACUUUAUUGUUAACAACUAAAAUUGUAAGCAGAGGCAUCUGUGAGCCCCUUUGCGAAAGCAUCGGAACUUUGACUUGCUAAUGUCCCCUAGGAUCCGAGUUCUUGUUAUCUGUUCCGAGAUUGAGCGCUCUACCCGUACGUGGGGGAGUGGGACCCCCAUCACCCACUACCUUUCCUCGAGUCUGUUUACUGGGAGCCACAACCUUGGUUUUAUUUGCUCAUAUGCACGAUGCACGAUUUACUUCCUGUUGCCUUCGGGUGUUUAUAUUAUGUACUGUACUCAUAUCGUGGAACGAUUAGCGAAAGCAGGUUGUUCACACUUAGCUUAGCCGUUGGCACAAACCUCUGGGUCCGUAUCGGAGUACGGCCGAACUUCGUCACGGGUAGCUUAGUGGGGUGGCUCCCCUUAAACUUUCUCUUGCAUUGGGAACGGUCUUGAUGUGAGACUCCACCUGUAGUAAGUGGGUUCGAGCAUGCGUAUGGUUACAUUUGGGCAACCCCUGCAGGGUGUACAUCUUAUCGAUAAGCCGUGUCCGCGGUUAUGGACGACUUGAAAUUGUAUAGCUUGAUCAUAGAACAACUUACACCUUAUUUCCUGUUGCUAAUAAUUUGCUAAUAAAACUCUUUCAAAAAGUGUGUGUGCCUUUGCAAUACCUCUUGGCGAAGGGGGAUCGCCUCGGCUGGGUUUUGAUUGCAGAGUAUAGAACUGCUAGAUUAUGCGCUCUCUCACCUUUUCUAAUAGACGAAUGUUGUAGCGUGUCUCUAUUGGUUAGUUGCUUUGCUGUCGCUAAACUCCACAUAUAGCCGGGUGAAGUUUAUACCGCCCACCAGCGAGCAUAGCUGGUCUUGUCUCGCAAGUACGUGCCAUUGGUACUUACCCUCGCCUUCCUUUCUUUUUGUCUCCUCCCCCUUUUGUCGGCAACCGAUGGCCCGACUUUGACAGGUACGAGAUGACGACGUUAGCAAGGUUACCCUUCCGGCUUGGCCUGGGCAGGGUUAUGGACGCCAUCGUUUAUCUUCAGGACUCUUAGUCCAAUUUGUAUCUUGUCCGUACUCGGACGUAUUUGAUCUUCUGUAUGAUUUGGAUCUUUGUAUUGUAUAUUUGUAUCUUGACUCGUUGGAGUCAUUAUUGUAA